UACGAGGGGGGCAAAUGUUGUUCGGAAUCACUGGGCGUAAAGGGAGCGUAGGCGGGUUUCUAAGUCAGGUGUUUAAUCCCGGGGCCCAACCCCGGACAGGCACUUGAAACUGGGAAUCUUGAAUAGUGGAGAGGUCAGUGGAAUUGGGGGUGUAGCGGUGGAAUGCGUAGAGAUCCCCUAGAACACCGAUAGCGAAGGCAGCUUACUGGGCUGUAACUGACGCUGAUGCACGAAAGUGUGGGGAUCAAACAGG
rnacentral:rRNA from 1 species